CGUAGGGUGCAAGCGUUAAUCGGAAUUACUGGGCGUAAAGCGUGCGCAGGCGGUGAUGUAAGACAGGUGUGAAAUCCCCGGGCUUAACCUGGGAACUGCAUUUGUGACUGCAUCGCUGGAGUGCGGCAGAGGGGGUGGAAUUCCGCGUGUAGCAGUGAAAUGCGUAGAUAUGCGGAGGAACACCGAUGGCGAAGGCAAUCCCCUGGGCCUGCACUGACGCUCAUGCACGAAAGCGUGGGGAGCAAACAGGAUUAGAUACCCUGGUAGUCCACGCCCUAAACGAUGUCAACUGGUUGUUGGGUCUUCACUGACUCAGUAACGAAGCUAACGCGUGAAGUUGACCGCCUGGGGAGUACGGCCGCAAGGUUG
rnacentral:rRNA from 1 species